AACUCCGUCGAGAGUAUAACUGCGGCAUCGUAACUGACAAAACUUUCCGUAGCUGCAUUUAUAUGCGUGCCCGGCCGUUGCACGUAAAGUGAUUCCGCUGUUACUCGUUAGAGA